ensembl:misc_RNA
AUUUCUACCUGAAACUCCCCAGGAUGGACUAACUUGAGCCCUUUGUUUCACAGCCGAGGCUCGCUGCCCCUCGUGGGCAGUGAGUCGGUGGGUA